AUAUGCUUAAACUCAGCGGGUAGUCCCGCCUGACCUGGGGUCACAAUCGAAGUGCACACAUUCUUGUAGUGCCUAAGGGCCCACGAGUUCCCUACUAUGGUAGGCAUACACAACAACACGAGAAGGUCUUCUUACAACCACCGAUGUCAUGAUGCCCAUCAUCAGAGACUCAUUUUUGAGCCAACCGCACACAAAAGGAACGGGAGGCCAAUUUUCGCCCCUAAACAAAAUAAAUCUCCGAAGGGGAGGAUUGUUCAGGGGCAACACGAUGCGUGACACCCAGGCAGACGUGCCCUGGGCCUAAUGGCUUCGGGCGCAACUUGCGUUCAAAGACUCGAUGGUUCACGGGAUUCUGCAAUUCACACCAAGUAUCGCAUUUCGCUACGUUCUUCAUCGAUGCGAGAGCCGGGAUAUCCGUUGCCGAGAGUCAUUUUGUGAUUUAGACUGCCGCCACUUCCCGCGAACGAGAUGCGGACGAACAAUUCAUUAUUUACUUCCUUGGCGCAUUUGGCGCCCAGUUGAUUUUGUUAGGCUGGCGACACCCAUAAGGGGACACCUGCCUUGGGUUUGCCGACUGCAGACCAAAGGCCCUCAGUUGCAUGCCCAGUGUUUCUACAUGUUAACAGGUCAUUCUAGUAUCGCAGGAUUCGACAAUGAUCCUUCCGCAGGUUCACCUACGGAAACC
rnacentral:misc_RNA from 1 species